rnacentral:tRNA from 1 species
GGAUAGAUGGCCGAGUGGCUUAAGGCGCAUGCUUGGAAAGCCUGUAAACGGUUCGCCCGUUUCGAGGGUUCGAAUCCCUCUCUAUCCG